rnacentral:rRNA from 1 species
CCUACGGGUGGCUGCAGUGGGGAAUAUUGCACAAUGGGGGAAACCCUGAUGCAGCGAUGCCGCGUGGAGGAAGAAGGUUUUCGGAUUGUAAACUCCUUUUAUCAGGGACGAUAAUGACGGUACCUGAAGAAAAAGCUCCGGCUAACUACGUGCCAGCAGCCGCGGUAAUACGUAGGGAGCGAGCGUUGUCCGGAAUUACUGGGUGUAAAGGGAGCGUAGGCGGGACGGCAAGUCUGAUGUGAAAAUUUGGGGCUCAACCCCAAACGUGCAUUGGAAACUGCAGGGCUUGAGUGCCGGAGAGGCAGGCGGAAUUCCUAGUGUAGCGGUGAAAUGCGUAGAUAUUAGGAGGAACACCAGUGGCGAAGGCGGCCUGCUGGACGGUAACUGACGCUGAGGCUCGAAAGCGUGGGGAGCAAACAGGAUUAGAUACCCUAGUAGUC